AUGGCUCAGGAUGAACGCUAGCUACAGGCUAACACAUGCAAGUCGAGGGCAGCAUGAAGUUGCUGCAAACUUGAUGGCGACCGGCGCACGGGUGAGUAACGCGUAUCCAACCUUCCCUAUACUAGAGGAUAGCCCGGCGAAAGUCGGAUUAAUACUCUAUGUUCUUCGUAGAAGACAUCUGAAAUGAAGCAAAGGUUUACCGGUAUAGGAUGGGGAUGCGUCUGAUUAGGUUGUUGGCGGGGUAACGGCCCACCAAGCCCACGAUCAGUAGGGGUUCUGAGAGGAAGGUCCCCCACAUUGGAACUGAGACACGGUCCAAACUCCUACGGGAGGCAGCAGUGAGGAAUAUUGGUCAAUGGACGAGAGUCUGAACCAGCCAAGUAGCGUGCAAGGAUGACGGCCCUAUGGGUUGUAAACUGCUUUUAUACAGGGAUAAAGUGCACUACGUGUAGUGUUUUGUAGGUACUGUAUGAAUAAGGACCGGCUAAUUCCGUGCCAGCAGCGGC
rnacentral:rRNA from 1 species